GUCUUUUGGCUAGCUUUCUGAUUUGCUACAGACUGACUUAUCUGACUCUCCUUUGUGUUUCUUUGUACCCAUAAUAUUUCUUCCUUAUGCCUCACUCAUGGAUUUGUGAGCAGUGUCAGUAUUUUCUUUACCAUUGCGUACUCAUAGCUUGGUAUACCCUCUUGAACAAGCUUUACUGCUUUUCUGCCAGAUACCCUAAAUCUUCUCUCUCAAGUUAAAAGUUCCACAGAUCUCUAGGGUAGGGGCAAAAUGUGUGAAAUAUUUGAGUUCUUCAAGUCAGUCAAAAUGAAUAGUCCUUUAGGAACAUCAUAGUUAUUCAGUACAGACUUGUGUAAUAACCCAGAUUAGUAGUCAAACUAUUAUGGUCCUAGAGUAAAGGUCAUACUAUACCUACCUUAACAGUGUGUAAUCACAACUUUCAAAAACAUUAAUCUUAUCUGUCUACAAGUAAAUUAAGUGACUAAUGUAAUAAAACAACAUUCAGUUAAAAAAACUACAAAUUCUAGAUACAUAAAAAUAUAGUAUCCAUAAUAUUUUGCACACAAUCAAGAAGUACUAAAGUUGUAAAAAUAUAGAAAAAUUUGGCUUAUAACCAGGAGAUACACCAAAUAAUAAAAGCAGGUCCAGAAAUGAUAG
rnacentral:lncRNA from 1 species